CAGAAAACAUGAUGGAGUGGUGCAGUAUUCUAGUCAGCCCUCCGGUUCUGAAGGCGGGCCUAAAAAUCCGCUAAAGGGCACAUCGAUGAAGUUCCUGGUGUUGGCUUGAGGCGCCCAGCCUUGGGUUGAUGCUGGGGGUUAAGGUUAGAGGGCGAUCCACAAUGGCAUGUGGGCGUUGACCCUCUUUCCGCGGAGGCCCAUUUUAUGUGCAAAAUGGGUAUGAACCUGUCUACGCGCUUCAUAGUGCAAUGAGGCGCGGACAGCGUAGCCUGCCUUGAGUGGAGGCCGAGGGGAUUAUGGAAACAAGGAACUUUUUCAUAUGGCCAAUGAAAGAGUUUCUUAUGUGACAUAUGAAAUCGGCUCUGCAAAAGAGGCUAGGAACCGGCUAAAGGCUGUUUGAGGAAAACUCCUAGACUGUUCACAUGACAUAUAUAGAGGAUUGUAGUACGGACUAAGUGGCAAUCCAGUCUAGCGUUUGGCGA
rnacentral:sRNA from 1 species